GACGAACGCUGGCGGCGUGCUUAACACAUGCAAGUCGAGCGAUGAAGCACCUUCGGGUGUGGAUUAGCGGCGAACGGGUGAGGGACACGUGAGGAAUCUGCCUUUCACUUCGGGAUAACUCCGGGAAACCGGGGCUAAUACCGGAUAUUUUCAACUGGCGGCAUCGCCGGUUGAAGAAAGUUUUUCGGUGAAAGAUGACCUCGCGGCCUAUCAGCUUGUUGGUGAGGUAAUGGCUCACCAAGGCGACGACGGGUAGCCGGCCUGGGAGGGCGACCGGCCACACUGGGACUGAGACACGGCCCAGACUCCUACGGGAGGCAGCAGUGGGGAAUAUUGGGCAAUGGAGGAAACUCUGACCCAGCGACGCCGCGUGAGGGAUGAAGGCCUUCGGGUUGUAGACCUCUUUCAGCAGGGAAUAAGCGAAAGUGAAGGUACCUGCAGAAGAAGCACCGGCUAACUAUGUGCCAGCAGCCGCCGCGG
rnacentral:rRNA from 1 species